UUUAAAAUGGUUUUAAAAACUUGUGGGUUC
rnacentral:piRNA from 1 species